rnacentral:snRNA from 1 species
GAUCUGUUCGGCAGCACAUAUACUAAAAUUGGAACGAUACAGAGAUUAGUAUGGCCCGGCGCAAGGAUGGCAUGCAAAUUCGUGAAGCAUUCCACAUUUUU